rnacentral:tRNA from 1 species
GACCUUAUAUUCAAAGAUGAUUCUAGGCUGCAAUCCUAGAGGUGUAGAUCAUUCUACUAAGGCCU